UAAUCCAACACUGCUCGAGUCGACUGAUUGUGAGUUCAAGUCUUAACAUGCCCCACUAUCGCCCAUUGGUCAUCCGGAAGCAUUGCUUACCGUAGGGGGUCUUGUUUUAGUUUUACCGCCCUAAGUAUUAGUCAAUAGGGGCGGUAUGUUUUAUCCGCCCUAAAUAGUGUCCGUCUUCCUCCUUCUCUUCUCCUUUUAUUUUUGUUUGCUUUUGAUUUCUGCUACUACUACUGUGUUUUACUCUGUUUCGAAUGGUUCUUCGACAACCCUGUUUUUUUGGAUGAAUUCUCUUUUCUAAGUCUGUCAGACAACCGUGCGACCACCACGAGGUUGGACCGUUGGAACCAACGAUGGGAACGAUCCUUACUGCUCGACGGGACCUAUACGAGUCUCAUCGGAGCUGUUAAUCAAGGAUAUAGAGGUACGAGCCUAUAGACUUAGGUUCCUUCAUCCCUCGACAACAUUGAAUCUUCAUCUAAGGGUGACUAAACCCUUGCACCUCGGCUCUAUUGAUGCACCUACGACAAUCGUCGUAUGAAACGUGGUCAGUCAAGGGGAUUGGCUACAACUUCUUUGCCGAGUGGCCAAAAGAUAAAACUUUGAUGGAGGAGGAGGAGGAGGAGGAUUCUUGAUCUCUUCCCCUAGCACCUAAGAGCUCUACUGGGAUUGACUAUUCUGGCAUCAUACCCUUUUUUUCUUUAUGGGUUGUGGUUGAUCCUUAUUCAUCAGUCUCAUCACAAAUAAAUGGGAGAGGGUGCUAUUAAUCUCAACUCAAAUUUUGCAUAUGACAAUACCCUAUGAGCCAUGAAUAAGGGAUGCACCUUCUUCUCUACCGUUUUGUAGUUUCAAUUAAGAAUCUGAACUGCGAUUGGUCCAGAGAACUGUUUCUGGAGAAGUUUGAGUUUGCUGAGCAUCACUUCUGAAAGGAUUUCCAAAUCAAUCUCACUCAUCUGUCAUCAUGUGUUAUCUAGGGACUGCUUCACAUGCUUUAAAGGUUAGGGAUGAACCGAAACACUUGCUGGAUGAUGAUGAAGAUAUGGCUGAGAUGUAUCUUACCAACAUGAUGAUGCAGUCACACUUUGAUGGAUCAUCUUCACUUUCCUUUCUAAAUGAUAUUCUUCAGUCAGAAAUGGAUGAUAGGAGCUUAAUGUUAUAUUGUUUGUGGAUUUUCUUGGUUAAGUUGCUUUGCUUUUUGGGUAUGUCAUCUGUGUUACAUUAUGAUCUUUGCAAUUACUCUUGAUUGAAGUUCUUAGUUAUCAUUGAAGGUAAGGAAGAUCUGCAGUCAUUCA